rnacentral:rRNA from 1 species
UAACGCCUGGAAACGGGUGCUAAUGCUGGAUAGCGCAAUAGGUAGGCAUCUACCUGUUGGGAAAGGUGCUACGGCACUACUGAGAGAGGAGCCCGCGGCGCAUUAGCUAGUUGGUGGGGGUAAUGGCUCACCAAGGCGACGAUGCGUAGCCGACCUGAGAGGGUGACCGGCCACACUGGGACUGAGACACGGCCCAGACUCCUACGGGAGGCAGCAGUAGGGAAUCUUCGGCAAUGGGCGAAAGCCUGACCGAGCAACGCCGCGUGAGCGAAGAAGGCCUUCGGGUUGUAAAGCUCAGUCAUCCGGGAAGAGCGGACAGGAAAGGGAAUGCUCCUGUCGAGACGGUACCGGGAGAGGAAGCCCCGGCUAACUACGUG